rnacentral:rRNA from 1 species
GACGGAGGCCCCAAGCGUUAGGCGGAAUCACUGGGCUUAAAGCGUGUGUAGGCGGACGCCUAAGUGUCUUGUGAAAUCCCACGGCUCACCCGUGGAACUGCUGGGCAUACUGGGCGUCUUGGGCCAACUAGGGGCAGCCGGAACAAGCGGUGGAGCGGUGAAAUGCGUAGAUAUCGCUUGGAACGCCGAAGGUGAAAACAGGCUGCUGGGGUUGCGCCGACGCUGAGACACGAAAGCCAGGGGAGCAAACGGG